rnacentral:lncRNA from 10 species
GAAGAUGAUGGAGAAUUUGUUUAUUGCCUUCCUCGGAAAAGUCCUAAAUCCCUUUACAAUCCAUAUGAUCUUCAGGUAGUAUCGGCUCAUACUGCUAAACAUUGCAAAGAAUUUUGGGUUAUUACUGCUUCAUUUAUCUCAAAGGUUAUUAAUAUAGUUGGUAGUGUAAAGGAAGUAGAACUCAUACCUACUUUGGAAUGGCUAUCAGAAAGAAGACAUUACUAUUUAUUACGGCAAUUCAAGAUAUUUUCUGAUUUCCGGAAGUCAGGGACCCCGAACGGAGGGACCGGCCGAAGCCAUGGCAGAAGAACGUGGAUUGUGAAGAUUUCAUGAACAUUUAUUAGUUCCCCAAAUUAAUACUUUUAUAAUUUCUUACACCUGUCUUUACUGCAGUCUCCGAACAUAAAUUGUGAAGAUUUCAUGGAUACUUAUCACAAUAAAUACCCUUGUGAUUUC